rnacentral:rRNA from 1 species
GACGAACGCUGGCGGCGUGCUUAACACAUGCAAGUCGAACGGAAAGGCCCUGCUUUUGUGGGGUGCUCGAGUGGCGAACGGGUGAGUAACACGUGAGUAACCUGCCCUUGACUUUGGGAUAACUUCAGGAAACUGGGGCUAAUACCGGAUAGGAGCUCCUGCUGCAUGGUGGGGGUUGGAAAGUUUCGGCGGUUGGGGAUGGACCCGCGGCUUAUCAGCUUGUUGGUGGGGUAGUGGCUUACCAAGGCUUUGAUGGGUAGCCGGCCUGAGAGGGUGACCGGCCACAUUGGGACUGAGAUACGGCCCAGACUCCUACGGGAGGCAGCAGUGGGGAAUAUUGCACAAUGGGCGGAAGCCUGAUGCAGCAACGCCGCGUGCGGGAUGACGGCCUUCGGGUUGUAAACCGCUUUCGCCUGUGACGAAGCGUGAGUGACGGUAAUGGGUAAAGAAGCACCGGCUAACUACGUG